rnacentral:rRNA from 1 species
UACGUAGGGUGCAAGCGUUAUCCGGAAUUAUUGGGCGUAAAGAGCUCGUAGGCGGUUUGUCGCGUCUGCUGUGAAAACUGGAGGCUCAACCUCCAGCCUGCAGUGGGUACGGGCAGACUAGAGUGCGGUAGGGGAGAUUGGAAUUCCUGGUGUAGCGGUGGAAUGCGCAGAUAUCAGGAGGAACACCGAUGGCGAAGGCAGAUCUCUGGGCCGUAACUGACGCUGAGGAGCGAAAGCGUGGGUAGCGAACAGG